GAUGAACGCUGGCGGCGUGCUUAACACAUGCAAGUCGAACGGAAAGGCCUCUGCUUGCAGGGGUACUCGAGUGGCGAACGGGUGAGUAACACGUGGGUGAUCUGCCCUGCACUUCGGGAUAAGCCUGGGAAACUGGGUCUAAUACCGGAUGGGACCACAUUUUGGAUGGUGUGGUGGAAAGUUUUUCGGUGUGGGAUGAGCUCGCGGCCUAUCAGCUUGUUGGUGGGGUAAUGGCCUACCAAGGCGUCGACGGGUAGCCGGCCUGAGAGGGUGUACGGCCACAUUGGGACUGAGAUACGGCCCAGACUCCUACGGGAGGCAGCAGUGGGGAAUAUUGCACAAUGGGCGCAAGCCUGAUGCAGCGACGCCGCGUGGGGGAUGACGGCCUUCGGGUUGUAAACUCCUUUCGCUAGGGACGGAGCGUUUUUGUGACGGUACCUGGAGAAGAAGCACCGGCUAACUACGUGCCAGCAGCCGCGGUAAUACGUAGGGUGCGAGCGUUGUCCGGAAUUACUGGGCGUAAAGAGCUCGUAGGUGGUUUGUCGCGUCGUUUGUGUAAGCCCGCAGCUUAACUGCGGGACUGCAGGCGAUACGGGCAUAACUUGAGUGCUGUAGGGGAGACUGGAAUUCCUGGUGUAGCGGUGGAAUGCGCAGAUAUCAGGAGGAACACCGAUGGCGAAGGCAGGUCUCUGGGCAGUAACUGACGCUGAUGCUCGAAGGUGCGGGUAUCGAACAGGAUUAGAUACCCUGGUAGUCCGCACAGUAAACGAUGGAUGCUCGCUGUUGGCUUUUAUAGUCAGUGGCUUAGCGAAAGCGUUAAGCAUCCCACCUGGGGAGUACGCCGGCAACGGUGAAACUCAAAGGAAUUGACGGGGGCCCGCACAAGCGGAGGAACAUGUGGUUUAAUUCGAUGAUACGCGUGGAACCUUACCCGGGCUUGAACUGCAGGAGAACGAUUCAGAGAUGAUGAGGUCCUUCGGGACUCCUGUGGAGGUGCUGCAUGGUUGUCGUCAGCUCGUGCCGUGAGGUGUCGGCUUAAGUGCCAUAACGAGCGCAACCCCUUUUCUUAGUUGCCAUCGGGUGAUGCCGGGCACUCUGAGGAUACUGCCACCGUAAGGUGUGAGGAAGGUGGGGAUGACGUCAAAUCAGCACGGCCCUUACGUCCGGGGCUACACACGUGUUACAAUGGGGCAUACAGAGUGUUGGUUGCGUGUAAAUGUAAUCUAAUCUUUAAAGUGCUUCUCAGUUCGGACUGGGGUCUGCAACCCGACCCCACGAAGCUGGAUUCGCUAGUAAUCGCGCAUCAGCCAUGGCGCGGUGAAUACGUUCCCGGGCCU
rnacentral:rRNA from 1 species